ensembl:rRNA 5S_rRNA 5S ribosomal RNA
UUCUACGGCCAUAGCACCCUGAACGCACCCGAUCUCGUCUGAUCUUGGAAGCUCAGCAGGGUAGGGCCUGGUUAGUACUUGGAUGGGAGAAAAGCUGAGGAAACAGUAAAGG